GAGAGCAACCUACCCCUGACUCUGGGAUAAGCGCUGGAAACGGCGUCUAAUACUGGAUAUGUGACGUGAUCGCAUGGUCUGCGUCUGGAAAGAAUUUCGGUUGGGGAUGGGCUCGCGGCCUAUCAGCUUGUUGGUGAGGUAAUGGCUCACCAAGGCGUCGACGGGUAGCCGGCCUGAGAGGGUGACCGGCCACACUGGGACUGAGACACGGCCCAGACUCCUACGGGAGGCAGCAGUGGGGAAUAUUGCACAAUGGGCGCAAGCCUGAUGCAGCAACGCCGCGUGAGGGAUGACGGCCUUCGGGUUGUAAACCUCUUUUAGCAGGGAAGAAGCGAAAGUGACGGUACCUGCAGAAAAAGCGCCGGCUAACUACGUGCCAGCAGCCGCGGUAAUACGUAGGGCGCAAGCGUUAUCCGGAAUUAUUGGGCGUAAAGAGCUCGUAGGCGGUUUGUCGCGUCUGCUGUGAAAUCCCGAGGCUCAACCUCGGGCCUGCAGUGGGUACGGGCAGACUAGAGUGCGGUAGGGGAGAUUGGAAUUCCUGGUGUAGCGGUGGAAUGCGCAGAUAUCAGGAGGAACACCGAUGGCGAAGGCAGAUCUCUGGGCCGUAACUGACGCUGAGGAGCGAAAGGGUGGGGAGCAAACAGGCUUAGAUACCCUGGUAGUCCACCCCGUAAACGUUGGGAACUAGUUGUGGGGUCCAUUCCACGGAUUCCGUGACGCA
rnacentral:rRNA from 1 species